rnacentral:rRNA from 1 species
GAUCAUGGCUCAGGAUGAACGCUGGCGGCGUGCCUAACACAUGCAAGUCGAACGGGGUUAAGUGAAAUUUCGGAUGGAGCUUAACUUAGUGGCGGACGGGUGAGUAACGCGUGGAUAACCUGCCUCACACUGGGGGAUAGCAGCUGGAAACGGCUGGUAAUACCGCAUAAGACCACAGCACCGCAUGGUGCAGGGGUAAAAGAUUUAUCGGUGUGAGAUGGAUCCGCGUCUGAUUAGCCAGUUGGCGGGGUAACGGCCCACCAAAGCGACGAUCAGUAGCCGGCCUGAGAGGGUGAACGGCCACAUUGGGACUGAGACACGGCCCAAACUCCUACGGGAGGCAGCAGUGGGGAAUAUUGCACAAUGGGCGCAAGCCUGAUGCAGCAACGCCGCGUGAGUGAAGAAGUAUUUCGGUAUGUAAAGCUCUAUCGGCAGGGAAGAAAGGCCCUUAACAGGGAGAUGACGGUACCUGACUAAGAAGCCCCGGCUAACUACGUGCCAGCAGCUGC